CCACAGGCCUCCCUCGAGGCCACGGCACAGAAACUGGCAGAAAGCA
rfam:Cavia porcellus supercont2_434 genomic scaffold, whole genome shotgun sequence.